UUAAUGCUUCCCAGUUCAUUUCUCUUUUCCGGUUCCUCUAAGCUUCAAAACAUGAAGAACACGCUGGCAUGGAUUCCUGCAGUUCUGGUUUCCCUCAUCAUUGUUGGUCGCUCAGCACAGUUUGCUGCAGAUGGUGAUUAUUCAGGUUUCAUAAGCAUAGACUGUGGAGCAAGCAAAGGCUAUGUUGACGAACUAACUGGGAUUUCGUAUCAGACAGAUGAAGACUUCAUAGAAAGCGGAACCAAUCAUGAAGUACCUCCCAGCUUUAAAGUCAAUGAUCAGCCAUACAUACAAAGACAGCUUGACACGCUGAGAAGUUUUCCAGAAGAAAAAGGAACUGUUACACCCUGAGACCGAAACAAGAAACCAAUCAGCAGAAAGAAAAGUACAUGAUCAGAGCCGUGUUUUCAUAUCAGAAUUAUGACUACAAAAACCAAGCUCCAGAGUUUGACCUCUACCUGGGGGUCAAUUACUGGGACACAAUUCGAUUCGGUAAAGACAAUGAUGCUCAGUAUCGUGAGAUAAUAAUCCAACAGGUCACCAAUGGCAUUGUGCAAGUGUGUCUUGUACACAUCGAAGAGGGCACACCUUUCAUCAACACUUUGGAAUUAAGGCCAUUGAACAGCUCUCUUUAUCCCACACCAUUUCUCUUAUCUCUUGAAGUGAGGAGAGAUUGUGGCGCUGAGCGUAGAUAUUUUGUCAGGUACAAGGACGAUGUGUAUGAUCGCUUGUGGCUCAAUUCUAACGUUCGGGAUCUGAAAACAAGUACACAAGUAAAACUACUACAGAACUCUACUUAUGAGUUGCCGUCAGACAUAUUACUCACUGCAUGUCUGUCCAAAUGAUUCCCAUCUCUUGAUUAAUGGAACUUGGAAUUUCAAUCGUGAUAAGCAGUUUUACUUGUUUCUUCAUUUCAAUGAGAUUCAAAAGCUUCCUUCUGGACGAAAGAGGAUUAUCAAUGUGACUGUUAAUGAUGGGAAUUCACUCUCUCAGGACUUGCUCUUGAGUACUUGAAACCUGUAACCCUAGUUUCCAACAUGAUAACUGAAAAUUAUGUUAACUUCAAAGUCAGAAACAACAGUUGAUUCUUCUGCUCCUCCUAUCCUCAAUGCCUUUGAGAUUUUCAAGUCAUCCCAGAACUCAAAUCUCCUACUAACACACAAGACGUUAAUGCCAUCAUGGAGAUCAAGAGUACUUAUGGGGUCUCCAAAAAUCAUUGGCAAGGAGACCCAUGUGUGCCAUCUAACUUUGCAUGGCAGGUGUGAAUUGUAGCUCUGCUGGCAACAAUUCAAGAAUCCUCUCAUUGAACUUGAGCUCAAGCAAACUCGAAGGACCUAUUGAUGAAUCUUUCGCCAGUUUGGAAAGAUUAGAGUCCUUGGAUUUGUCAAACAAUCAAUUGACAGGAGAACUACCAGAAUUUCUCGCAGCUCUUCCUAAUU